UACAUGGGGUGCAAACGUUGCUCGGAAUUAUUGGGCGUAAAGCGCGCGUAGGCGGUUACUCAAGUCGGAUGUGAAAGCCCUCGGCUUAACUGAGGAAGUGCACCCGAAACUGAGUAGCUAGAGUACUAAAGAGGGUCGCGGAAUUCCCGGUGUAGAGGUGAAAUUCGUAGAUAUCAGGAGGAACACCGGUGGCGAAGGCGGAUCUCUGGGCCUUACCUGACGCUCAGGCGCGAAAGCUAGGGGAGCGAACAGG
rnacentral:rRNA from 1 species